CGAGGUGGGAGGAUGGCUUGAGCCUGAGAGGUUGAGGCUGCAGUGAGCCAUGAUAGUGCCCCUGCACUCCAGCCUGGGCUCAGUAAAAAGAAUUAUUUCCAAAUGGAGGCCAAGGACAGAGGAUCGCCCAAGUCCAGGAAUUUGAGUCCAGCUUAGGCAACAUAGUGAGACCCUGUCUCUAAAACUAAAAAUUUAAAAAAAAGGAAAGAGACUUAUUUCCAACUCACAGAUUAUAUUUAGGUUAAAAUAACAAAUACUUAGGUACCCAGUUCUAACGAAGCAUGGCACUGACUUCUGUAUUUUAAUCCAUCAAACCUGACAAAGUUAAAGCCCUCUCUGAUGGUCCAUCAUUUCUAGUUAUUAGAAAGCCCUUUCAGAUCUAGCAGAAACACCCUGUGAAGUCCAUUCCUGAGUCCUCGUUCCACCAUUGGCAGCACUGCCACGUGUCUGCCCUCACCCACCAGCCACGUAUGGUCUGUGGCCAUGGGCUCACGUUUUGUCUCUGUGGCGCUCACUGUCCCGUGGAGGGGGCUCCAGCCAGCCCCCUGCAUCCUUGGCACUCCAUGGUCACCUGUUGCUGUCUGCGGCCAGCCCUGAGGCCCAGGCCCCAGCCACUCUGCUGUUAGGAGUUUGGUACAGGAAUAGGGAAAAGGGAGAGGGCUGUAGCAGGAGCCGGCUCUAAAGAUCCUCUCCUGUUGUUCCAAGGAGUCAGUCUUUUUCUGCGGGCAAGCCAUGGAAGGAUUUUAAGUAGCAGAGUGACACCAUCAGACUUCGGCCUUACCCGAUUGAUUCAUCCUGCCUCAAGGGGCCCAGGUCAGGUGGUCAGGAAAGGCCUGGACAGUGAGAGCGAGUCCAGGUUGCCGCAGGCUUUUAGGUGAAAGACAAGAGGCCCCAAAGACCUCUUGAGUAGAGAUGAGAGGGAGGAGGAGGAGACCUUUCCAGACCUGGUGAGUUACAGGCCAUGAGGAGUGAAAAAGAAGAUGGGAUUAAGAUUUCUGGCUCUGGGGACUGUCCUCCCAGGGCAGCCAGAAGCCUGGUCCUUCCAGUCUCGGUGGUCCUUGUGGAUUUCAGCUGAAUGGAACUGUCCUUUGUGGCUUUGAAGGGUUAUGUAUCGGGGAAGAGGGACUAUCUCUCACCCAAACCAGGACACCUAAAGAUAGCAAAGGUUACCUGCUCCCCGGAGAAACCUGUUGCUGGGAGUGUCAGUGAGGCUUGUUAGCAAGGAAUGGCCUGCACCAUGGGAUGCGUUGGGCCACCUGGUCCCAGGGGUGCGGUGGUAUAAGUGGUGAGGGAUGGGGGAGCUGUUGAGGAGGACCAGACGUACUCUCCCCACCAGGAAUGGGUUGAGAGAGCUCCUGAGCACAAAGAGGAAGUUCCUGUCAAUUCAAGGAGACCCCUGUGUGAGAAGAAGGGUGGGAAGGCUCCAAAGGGGGUCUUCACGGCAGCGGCUUACAUAGACACUCCUGUCUAGUGUCGGGUAGGAGGAUGGCACUAAUGGCUGCUGCCAUCUGUGCCAGCUAGCAGCUACCUGCCCCACUCCAUCAUUGUUAUUUAUAUUACCUAGGACUCUGCUGUGUUGCCGGUGCCAGCCCCUGCUGGGGCAUAUGGAGGUCAUGGAGGACAGGGCAUGGGCGCACGAGGACGCAGCUCCAUCCGGCUGCUCGCCUGUGGCUUUUUCUGCUCAGGAGUCACGUUUUGGCUGGUGCUUCCCUGAUCCAUGGGAGCAGAUUGAGGAAGGUGGUUUGACCUUCUCCUGCCUCUGCCUAGGGCUUAGUUCUUUCAGAAAUGAGCAUUGGGAUCAGAGUAGGGAAUGCUGCUCUGUUGCUAUUGGGAAGACAAGGGUCAGAAUUACCAAGUUCAAACUGCCCCCAGAUGUCCCACCUCCUACUUGGAACUCCACUCUAGUGAUGGAAAUGUUAGUGUAUUUUUGGUCCUUUUGGCACUAACUACCCUGUCAUUCUUUUCGAGUUUCUGAUUCUUGAGAGGCAAGUAGUCUACUGUUUGGGAGCUAGGCAGCCUAGUUUGGGAUCCCAGCCCUGCUUCUCACUAGCAGCAUGACCUGGGGAGGUUACUUAGCCUCUGUGCACCUUAGUUUCCUCAAGUCUGAGGUGGGAAUAAUAUUACCUACUUUGCCGGGUUGUUGUAAGAACUAAGUGGGUUAAUAGAUAGAUACAGGGUAUUUAGAUAGGUAUCAGUUAUCUGUUGAUAACAAUAUUACCUUCUUCCCAGGGUUGUUGUAAGAACUAAGUGGGUUAAUAGAUGCAAUGUAUUUAGAUAGGUGUCAGUUAUCUGUUGCCCUUGUAACAAAUCACUGCCCCAACAGAGUGCCUUAAGAUGGCAACAUUUAUUUUGCUUGAGUUUGCAGUUUGAGCAGGGCUUGGUGGAGCUGCCUUUUUGCUGUUGUAUGUAGCUGGGGCUGGAGGAUCUAUUUUUGAGAUGGCUCCUUGAUGUGGCAGAGAAGUUGGUGCUACCCCUUGGCUGGGUGCUCAGCUGGGCUGUGAACUGGGGCCUUGAGUCUUCUCUUUCCACCAGCUGCUUGGGCUUCCUUACAAAAUGGUCGAUCGGUUCCACAAGUAAGUGCCCCAAGAGAAUAAGGUGAAAGUAUUUUUAUAACCUCAAAAGUCAUGAGGUUCCCUGUUCUCUGUUAGUCACAGCAGUCAUGAAGGCUCACCUGAUUUCAAGAGGAAGAGAGACAGCUUCUAUCUAUGUAUGGAAAAGUGGCAAGGUUCCAGAAGAGCGUGGUAGGUGAAAGAUAAUGCGGUGGCCAUUUUUGGAAAAUAAAAUCUGCCAUAGGAUAGGUUUUGGCAUACAGUAAACCUCAAUAAAUGUUCGCUACCAGUAGAUUAAAAUCAUCAUCUGCAUUCCUCAUUCCUGACUCCUCUUCCUUAGAGCGGGUGGUAGUACAGCAUAGUGGUUAAGUGCAUCUGCUCUGGAGGCAAGCUGCUAGGGGCCAAAGCCUGGUUCAGCCCUUACAGCUGUGUGAUCUUGGACAGAUUGCUUAACCUCUUGACAAAUUUAUUGAAAGAUACAAACACCAAAGCUUUCUCAGUAAGAAUAGAAAACCUGAGUGGCCCUAUAUGUACUGAAGAAGGUUAAUACGUAAUAAAAACUUCCCUAGAAAGAAAACUUCAGGCCCAGAUAGCUUUCCUGGUGAACGCUAUACAUUAGGGAAGAAAUAAUAUGAAUUUGUCCCAAAGUCUUCCAGAAAAUUGAAAAGGAGGAAAUAUUUUCUAGCACAUUUUAUGAGACCAGCAUUACCUUGAUACCCAAACCAGCAAAGACAUCACAAGGAAAGAAACAUCAGACCAACAUUCUACGUGGAUAUAGAUGCAAAAAAUUUAAACAAUUUUAGCAAAUGCAAUAAUAUAUAAAAAGGAUAAUACAUCAUGACUAGAGGGACUUAGCUCAGGAAUGCAGGAUUGGUUUAAUGUUCAAAAACCAAUCAUUGUAAUUCACUAUAUUAACCAAAGGAGAAAGAAAAACCAUAUACAGACUGACUAUCCCUUAUCCAAAAUGCUUGGGGCCAGAAGUAUUUCUGAUUUUUAAUUUUUUUCAGAUUUUGGAAUAUUUGCAUUAUACUUAUUGGUUGAGUAUUUCUAACCUGAAAAUAUGAAAUCCAGAAUGCUCCAGUGAGCAUUUUCUUUGAGUGUCAUGUUGGUACUCAAAGAGUAUGGAAUUUUGGAGCAUUUGGAUUUCAGAUUUUCAGAUUAGGGAUACUCAAGCUGAAAUCAUCUCAAAGUAGACAAAGUAUUUGACAAAAUCCAGCACCUAUUCAUGGUAAGAUCUCACAACAAACUAGGCAUAGAAAGGAAUUUCCUCAGCCUGAUAAAGGGUAUCUACGAGAAACUUCUAGCUUACAUCAUACUGAGUGGUGAAAAACUAAAUGCUUUUCCCCUAAGAUCAGGAAUGAGACAAAGAUAUCCCUUCUUAUCAUUUUUGUUCAGUAUUGUAAGGGAGGUUCUAAACAGUGCCA